rnacentral:lncRNA from 1 species
UUUAUUGAAAACCCAAUGCUUAUUAAAGGCUAUGCAAUAGAAGAUCCAUUGGGUGCUUGGGAACUGAAGUACCCAAAAAUUGAGAUAAAAUAUGAAAACCCUUUGUCAUUGAGCAAAUCUUCAUCCUGUGAAGGAGAAAGUGUCAAAAUAUCCAUUGGCUGUACCUGAUAAAUGUAUUGCUGAACUGCUGAGUGGCCCUGGUCUGGAGACAGGAGAGGAAUCCAGGUCUUUGAAGACCCAAGCACUAUCCAAUGAGCUCUGCUCCCAAAACACUGGCUGGUCUGAGCUUUUAUCAAAUCUAAGGUAUGUACUUCAAAAGCCAAAAAUAAAUGACAGUAAGAUACAUCGCCAAGAAAACCUCAAAGGUGACUGGUGCAUGGCUGCCACAAAGUCACAAGAGAGACAGCAAGCACCAGCAAAAGAAUAGGAGCAAGAGGAAGAAAACAGUAGAAGUUCUGAGAACAAUUUAAUGUUAUCAGUUGCACAGAA